rnacentral:misc_RNA from 1 species
AACCUUAUGGACCUGCGGGCGUAUACCUGCGGAGGGAUCAUUACUGAGUGAGGGCCUUCGGGCUCGACCUCCAACCCUUUGUGAACACAACUUGUUGCUUCGGGGGCGACCCUGCCGUUUCGACGGCGAGCGCCCCCGGAGGCCUUCAAACACUGCAUCUUUGCGUCGGAGUUUAAGUAAAUUAAACAAAACUUUCAGCAACGGAUCU